CAACCCAGGGAUCCUCAUGUUCCCAAUUCAUAAGUUUAUAAAUAGUUCCCUGUAAACGAAGCGGAUUCUACAAAGUUUAACUUUCUUACGUUAUUCCUAUAAAAGUCCUAAUGUUUUCAAAUAUUUCUCUAAUGUUAGGAUUUGUUAGAAAAUUUUAAUUAAUUAUAGGUAAAAUAUUUAAUCCUAAUUAGUCAAUGAAGUAAAUUGAUAGUUUUACCUCUCUUAUAUUAUACUGUCUUCUCUUAAUCAAAAUUUCGGUAAGAAAACUCUUCUUUCUCUCCCUCUUCCUCUCUCUCCUUUAUUCUAGUUCCGAACACGUAACUAGAAUUUUUUCGUCUCCAUUAAUCCACGAACAGUGUUGCUUUUUUAUUCAAUUUUCUUUAUGAUUUUUUUUAUUUUACUCAAAAGAAAAUGUUGAGGAGUAAAAGAGUGAGAGAAGAGGUUGCAACAAUGGUGGAUUGGGUUGGAUCUUAAAGAAAAAGAAGAUGAGGAAAACGAUGACCAUUAAAAGUUUUUUGGGGGACAUUUUUGCACGAUUAUAACAGUUGGAGCUUUUGUAGGGACAUUUGUGAUGACAAAAUUGUUAUUUCACUUAUCUACUAUUAAAAAAUAAACAGUUAUCUAAUGGUAAGAAAGUAGAGAGACAAAUAUAAAUAUUACUGAAUUUUUAUAGAGAUAUAAGAGUUAAAAGUUGAAUUUUGUAAGAAUAUAUUUGCUAUUCGCUAUGUUUACAGGGAGACGAAUGCAAUUAACCCUAUUUAGAAUGUAUAAACACGAGUGUUGUUUAUACAGUAAUAAAAGGUUCUUAGAGGCUGAGGGAUGAUAUCAGAGACUAUUCACAUAUUUCAGUACUCUCCCAUUUAUCAUACAUCUGUAUUUUUAUAUGUUUUAUUCUUUGGUUUAUCUAAAGAUAAAGAUUUGCUCACGCAAAUCAUGGCGGAGAUUCACGAGAUGAGGAGACAGCUUAUUUGAUUUGAUGUUUCCCACGCCAUAUAUAUAUAUAUAUAUAGAGAGAGAGAGAGAGAGAGAGAGAGAGAGAGAAUUAGGCUACUAUACUAUCUAUAGUACCGAGCUCUAGUAUUAUAGUUUUAUUUUCGAUCUUAGGGUGUUCAAAUUAAUGAUCCACACCGUUAAAUAUGAUCUAGGGUAUAUGAAGUUCUUAGGAAUAAAAUUUUAGUUUUUUUCGAUAUCGUUUAUUUAGUAAAUAAAUUAUAUCAAAAUGGACGGUGGAAAUUGAAUAAUCUUUGAAAUUUGAGUAUAGAACUUUUAAAUUCAAGAUCAAGAAUGUUAACCUUAAUCUAGAUAGUUUAAAGUAUUUUCUAUCAAAAUUUGAAGAAAUUUAGAUUCUUCUACACCGUUAAACUCCAAACUCGCAAUAAUAGUCAUUGAAAAUUGAUAAUUUUGAAAUGAUUUCACUACAACAAAAACGGUCUAUAGCGACACUUUUAAAUGUAGGUACAUGUCAAAAAAGUGCUGCUAGCUAAAAUUACCGACACUUUUAAAAAGUGUUGCUAUAUGUGGGGUCCCUAGAUAUAUAGUGACAGUUAAAGAGUGUCGCUAUAACCUAAAAGAGUGCUGCUAAUUUACCAACACUUAUUUAAGCAUUUAGCAACCGCCGAAACUCUAUCUCGUUGGCUGCGGUGGCGGAGGAGAACGACUGUAAAGGCCCUUCGUCUAGAAUUUCAGUGGAUUGAGUGAAGAGAGAAGAAAAGAUGGUAAUUGAUUUUUCUUUUCUUUUUUUUCUUUUCUGUUUGUAAUCGGGCCAAAUGGACUGGGUGUGGUGGGUUGAGUAGAGUAAUCUUUUAUUUUUGGUUGGAUUGGGCUUUCUAUUUAGGCAUUAGUAGAUGUAUUUUUAAGUUUUAGCAUAAAUGGGACACUUACUCAAAAGUGUCCCAAACAUGUGUCCCUAUAACCUAAUUCUAUUGUAGUGUUUGAUCAUAAAGUUAACUAUAUCAAAAAAAUAUAAAAUUUUAUUUCUAAAAACUUUAAAAACCCUAGAUCGGUUUUAACGAUGUGAAUCGUUGAUUUGAACGCCAUAAGAUCGAAAACGAGACUAUAGUACCGGAGCCCCGGUACUAUAGAUAGUAUAGGAGACUAGCUCUAUAUAUAUAUAUAUAUAGAGAGAGAGAGAGAGAGAGAGAGAAAGAGAGAAAGAGAGAAAGAACUAGGCUAGAAUACUAUCAAUAGCACCAAGCACUUAGUACUAUUAGUUUUUUAGCCCUUGGAUUGAUAAAUGUGUGGUUAGGAUGGUAUGAGCCCCCAAAGGUUGAGUAAGUGAUUGGUUGAAUAGUAUAAUCUAACGGAUAAAACUAGUCAAAGGGUUAAUCUAGCGGUAGAAAACUCGAUAGCACCAAAUCCUUGGUGCUAUCGAUAGUAUCUCAGCCGGAC
rnacentral:lncRNA from 1 species